rfam:Erinaceus europaeus unplaced genomic scaffold scaffold00116, whole genome shotgun sequence
GGAUGUGAGGGCGAUCUGGCCGCCGCAUCUGUCACCCCAUUGAUCACCAGGAUUGAUUCAGCUGAUCUGGCUGGCUAGGCGGAUGUACUCUUCCUCACUCAGUGCUCCAUGUGCCUCCCUCCCAAAGCUGCGUGCUCAGUCAAGAGGAUGACCAUCCCCAAAUAGAGAAGGACUGGUCUUUGGUGGAGGGUAUAGGAGUAGCUGUGCUCCCCUGCUGGAACCUCCAAACAAGCUCUCAAGGAAGGAGAGAGGCACUCAGAACUUUCUGCUGUCACC